rnacentral:rRNA from 1 species
CCCUCAAGUGGGGGAUAACCUCGAGAAAUUGGGGCUAAUACCGCAUAAGCUGGCUUCCCUUAUAGAAGCCAGCAAAGCUUUGGCGCUUGAGGAGGAGCUUGCGUCCUAUCAGGUUGUUGGUGGGGUAAGAGCCUACCAAGCCGAAGACAGGUAGCUGGUCUGAGAGGAUGGUCAGCCAGAUGGGAACUGAGAUACGGUCCUGACUCCUACGGGAGGCAGCAGCAAGGAAUCUUGCGCAAUGGGCGAAAGCCUGACGCAGCGACACCGCGUGGGGGAAGAAGGCUUUCGGGUUGUAAACCCCUUUUCCUGGGGAAGAGGAAGGACGGUACCCAGGGAAUAAGUCUCGGCUAACUACGUGCCAGCAGCCGCGGUAAGACGUAGGAGGCAAGCGUUAUCCGGAUUUAUUGGGUGUAAAGGGCGUGUAGGUGGUUCCCCAAGUUGACUGUGAAAUCUCCCGGCUCAACCGGGAGGGAUUGGUCAAUACUGGGGGGCUUGAGGGCAGCAGAGGGGAGUGGAAUUCCCGGUGUAGCAGUGAAAUGCGUAGAUACCGGGAGGAACACCAGUGGCGAAGGCGGCUCCCUGGGCUGCUUCUGACGCUGAGGCGCGAAAGCGUGGGGAGCGAAGCGGAUUAGAUACCCGCGUAGUCCACGCCCUAAACGUUGGACACUAGGUAUGGGGGGUAUCGACCCUCUCCGUGCCGAAGCUAACGCUUUAAGU